UUAACUGAAGCCAAAAUAGAGGCAUAUCACUGUUAAUGAUAAGAAUGAAUAGAUAUUCCGGUUAAA
rnacentral:tRNA from 1 species